rnacentral:rRNA from 1 species
GACGAACGCUGGCGGCGUGCUUAACACAUGCAAGUCGAACGGUAAGGCCCUUCGGGGUACACGAGUGGCGAACGGGUGAGUAACACGUGGGUGAUCUGCCCUGCACUUCGGGAUAAGCCUGGGAAACUGGGUCCAAUACCGGAUAGGACUCCGGACUGCAUGGUCUGGGGUGGAAAGCUUUUGCGGUGUGGGAUGGGCCCGCGGCCUAUAAGCUUGUUGGUGGGGUGAUGGCCUACCAAGGCGACGACGGGUAGCCGGCCUGGGAGGGUGACCGGCCACACUGGGACUGAGAGACGGCCCAGACGCCUACGGGAGGCAGCAGUGGGGAAUAUUGCACAAUGGGCGCAAGCCUGAUGCAGCGACGCCGCGUGAGGGAUGACGGCCUUCGGGUUGUAAACCUCUUUCAGCAUCGACGAAGCGAAAGUGACGGUAGGUGCAGAAGAAGGACCGGCCAACUACGUGCCAGCCGCCGCCGUAA